rnacentral:lncRNA from 1 species
UGUUCUCCUGGGCAUGCGCCUAGGAAUGGAGUUGCUGGGUCACAUGGUAACAGUAUUUUGAGGAACCGCCAAACUGUCUUCCACAGUGACUGCAGCAUUUUACAUUCCAAGCACUUCUUUUUAUAACACUCAGGAUAGGAGUUAACUUUUAUUGGUCCCAGGCCCCCUUGAGAAUUUGAUUAAAGCCUCCCUCCUGCCACCAAGGGGAUAGACCCACACUCCCUGGAACGCUGGCAAACGCCGUCCUGACGCAGGCUAGGAAGCUCCAUCCCAGGGAUGGAGCCCGGAAUAGCCUUGGAGCUCAGGAAACGCCGCCAACAUGGACUUGCUGAGAGCUGCCCUCCUUCCCUCCCUCUCCAACAAUUGCCUAUUGGCUCAACCCCGAACAGUCCUCUGGCGUCAUCUGAGUUUUCACAGCUGCCCAGGCUUUCCUGGAAUAACGUCCCUGGAAAGUCUCAGCUGGCAAACAGAAUCCCCCGAAAAGUCCCCAAGCACGCCCAGGACACUGUCUCCUUUCUCAGCCACCUCCUCUCUCCUGUCAGCCUGGUCCUCUGCCUCUCUCCGAGCCUUUUUCUCCCUCUUCCCUUCUCUGUCCAUCUCCAUUGGCCUUCCCAUCUGUGGUCGGCAGAAUAGGGCCCUGGAGAGAUCCAAGUCGUCAUCCCCGGAACCUAUGAAUGUGCUAAGUUACCUGGCGGGGAGGAAUUAAGGUUGCUACAGCUGAUCUUAAAGAGGUGCUCCGGGAUUAUACAGGUGGGCCCAAUGUCAUCAUGAGGGUCCUUAAAAGCGGAAGAGGAAGGUGGAGAGGAGAGAGAGAUGGAGAGCCAGAGACGCGAUGUGCAGGAGGAAGGGGCCACAGCCAAGGAUGCCCGGCCUCUAGAAACCGGAAAAGCCCCCGCAGGAAACGCACGACUCCUGUGGGCUCCGUCUCUGAUGUUCAAUCCAGGGCGCUGCAUUUCACACCGGCUUUCAUGCGUGUCUACCCCAGAGCGAGCUCCAGGAGGGCGGGGACUUUGUGGUGCUCCCAGCUGUGUGCCCAGAGCAGAGUCUGGCACAGGAUGGGCUCUCAGUUAAUGUUUGUUAAGGGGAGGAGGUGCCGGGCUUGGUGGCUCGCGCCUGUAAUCCCAGCACCUGAUCACUUGAGGUCAGCCUGGGCAACAGGGCAAAACCCCAUCUCUACAAAAAAUUAGCCGGGCACCUGUAGUUCCAGCUACUCGGGAGGCUGCGACAGGAGGUUCAUUUGAGCCUGGGACGCAGAGGUUGCAGUGAGCCAAGAAAGCGCCCUGCACUCCAGCCUGGGUGACAGAGUGAGGACCUUGUCUCAAUAAAGAAAAAAAAAAAUUACAAACGUUUUCUUCAUAACCACAAUGCCAUUAUCAUAUAUGACAAAAUUCUUUAAUUAUUCCUUAAUAUCAUCUAAUACCUAGUCCUUAACCAAAUAUCCCUGAUUGUCUGAAAAAUGUCUUUCUACUGUUUUUCUGUUUUGAAUCAAGAACAAGGUUUAUACGCUGCAUUUGAUUAUUGUGUCUCUUAAUGAUCUUAUCAAAGGCAAACACCCCCAACCCUCAC